rnacentral:pre_miRNA from 15 species
GUAAGUUGAAAUUAGUAGACAUUCUCCGAUCUUUGGUGAUUCAGCUUCAAUGAUUGGCUACAGGUUUCUUUCAUAAAGCUAGGUUACCAAAGCUCGGCGUCUUGAUCUACAGUUCUUUUUUUUU